CUUUGUUUUGUGCUCAAGAAGAGCGAGCAGAAUAGGCUGAAUUAGAGCCAUCUGUUUAUGUAAGCAAGAGGCGUCUGGUGCUCUUUUCCUCUCCCUUCCUCUGAGGCAGAGUCCAGGGCAAAGAGUACCAUCGCAUACGAAAAGUGGUGCUUCCACAAAGAGGCAGUAGUAAGGUGAGAUGAGACCCUUGACUGCACAGAGCGGACAGUCCAGAGAGAUUCACCACAUGUAAGCAGGCAGCCCCCACACACAACGAGCAUAGCCAGGAUGAGAGGAAGACAGAUCUGUGGGAGCACCCAGGCCCGCUCCCUAAUCCAGACUUACAGGACGGAUGCUGCUCUGAGACCAAAGCUUAGCUAAAAUACAGAGUGGAGAGAGAAAAGAGAAGAGAAUAAAUGUUGACAUCAUUGGAAACUGCCUCAGGCUGCAGCUAACAUUCCUGGUCCUUCCAUCAUUUGUUUAACCUGUGGAAGUCGGGUUUCUAUCAUUUGCAAAGGUCCUUUUAAACCCGCAGCCCUCAUCAUCUUACGAUGGAGUUGUCACAGAAAAACCAAACAACACAUGAGGCACAUUAUUGGCUUCCACUUUAAUAUAACAAAACCCAGCAAUAUUUUUUUAACAACAACCAGCAAAAAGACCAUCUAAUGUAUGCUGAGAACUGGAAGAGCAGAAAAAAGACUUUUGCAGGAUGGUUGUCUGAUUCCUUGGGAAAUCUGAAGAGCUUGAAUGGGAAGGCGCACAGACUGAAGACUGUCUCAGGCCAAGCCUCAACAAUAACUCCACCAGGAUUUAGAAAACUGGAUAGAUUCUAGAGAACUCUUUUUGAAAUGCUGAGUAAACCAAAAAUUAACUGCCAGGCUGUUUUCCAAGUUGGUGGCACCAUUCCACGUUCGCACCAGCUGUGUUUGAAGGUCCUCUACCUGCACACCGGCACUCGCCAUGAAAACUUUUCAGUUACUCAACAGAUGUUUAUUGAAAAUCUGUCUGCAAUAACUGCGAAGGGUCUGAAUUCACCGUACUCGCAAACUAACAAGUUUUGUGGAUGCUGGCAGAAGACGAGACUCCUGGGUCAGAGACAAAGACAUUUACUAUUUAUGGCACAGCAGGCAGUGUGGGCAUCACCAUAUUGGCAGCAGCUCCCCUCCUCCCCAAGUGCCAUGGAGGUGACAGGGAUGGGGUCAGACGAAUGCGUUCCCCCACAGUGGGCCGCAUUAUGAGGAGGAGACUCUGAGCUUAGACAUCCUGAGUCUUCUGCAGUGCACAGGAGCCCGCCUGCCCUUUCCUCUGGAGGGAGACUAUCUCUGUUCUUCAAGGCCGUUCACUCUUCAGACAUCCCUGAAAAGACAGUCUAGAAUUUCGUUCCACUAGUGCCUCACUCACAAAAUGUUUAGAAAUGGGACAGACCCGUGGAGAAUUGUCUCCCAGUAUUAUUUGAGCCUACCAUUAUAAGAAUCCUGUUAAGCAUGUAAGAAUAAGCUAAUUUAUCAAAAUGUGCAUUUUCUUAUAUGAUUUUGUGAAACCUGAGAUACACUGAUACAUAACACUAAUUUCAUUACUUCACCAAAGAAUAUCAGAUGUCAGUGCCUUUUUGAUGUCAAUUUUUGAUGGUUGGUUUGUGAGACAGAGAGAGACAAGAGAAAGCAUAUUUCAUUCACUUUGUCAGCUUCAAUUCUGUUCUUCAUCCUAAGCCAUUGCAAACUUCCCCAGAACUUUCCCCUCUUCUCUUACUACUCCAGAGGGAAAAAGAAAGCACUUACUGGGUGUCAACUUCUGUGCUAGGCAUUGUAAUGUGUGCUCUUUCUUCUCUUUUCUUAAUGGUCUAACCACUCUCUCCAGCUCCAAACCCCAUACUCAAGAUAUAAACCUGAGGGUUAUGCAGAAUCUUAGAUUUAGCAAAAACCACAUAUCGUUCCCCAUCCCACAGCACAAAACCUCUGACUCAAGCAGAUUUUUACUGACUAGACACUGGGGAACAAUGAAAGUUUAGCCAAGCAUCAUCUUUCUGGUUUGCAAACAUCCUCACAAAUGAGAUCCAAAACGAAAAGAUGGAAGUAAUUCAUUCUCUCUGUCCUUUAUCUUUAUACUGUGAUGAAUAUAUCAAUGGGAACUCUCGAAAUCCAUCUGUUUUCGUUUUCUUAAGGAACAGAUACAAACAGUUCUUCUAAGUACAGCUUAAAUUUUACAUUAAAAAAAAGGCAGCCUAAUGGAUUGACAAGAACAUGAGCUUUAUGGAUGGGCAGGAUCUAAUUUCCAAACUUCCGCACUCCAUUCCUUUUAGUCUCUUUUCCAAGUCUAGGACAAAACAUAUUUCUCAAUAACUGAAUUUAGAUUAUUCUAACAAUACUGAAAUAAUUAUUUAAAAGGAAGACUCAUUAUCCAAACCUUUUACUUAAUUUUUUUAAUCAAAUUGAUAAGUUCAUUUGUGGUUAUAGCAUUGUUUAAACUUAUCCA
rnacentral:lncRNA from 1 species